UUGUAAUUAAGUGUAAAAAAGUGUAAAAAACAUUUAAAAUUUUUUAAAUGAUAAAAAUGUCGGUUAUUAAUCCUUGCUGUGUACCAUCUUGUGAUGAUAGACAUUAAAAGGUAAAUUAUAAAAAUUAUUAAUUAAUACAGCAUAAUUACUUUCAUUCUGUAUUUCUAGAUAUUAUUUUCCGACCGACCCUAUUAUUCGAAUGGCUUGGCUCUCUGGAAUACACAAUUCAAAAUUAUUUGAAUUAAUUAAUGAUAAGCGUCUAAGUAACUAUUGUGUUUGCCCCAACCAUUUUGCAACAAUGUGCAAAUAUGUUGAGAAGAAAUUGAAAAAGCUACCUACAUUAUGCUUACUAGGUAAAUGAAAUUUUGGAUAAAAAGUUUGUUUUUUAAUCUAUAUAUGUUUUUUAAAUCAUUUAGAUUUGUAAGAAGAAACUAUAAAUAAUUGCUUUUUGUCUCCACAAGAUCAACCAACAGAAGAUACUUCAGGUAUGCUGCAUGGUAUGAAAUUAAUUAUUUAGUUUCAUAAUUCAUAAUUAUAUAAUUCAUUAUAUACCAUAUUAUAUAUGUUUAUACCCCGACAUGCCAUAUAUAUAUAUUUAUACCCCCACAUAUGUAUGCCCCGACAAACUUCCUGGUGUAACUAGUUCAACUGUUAUGCAAGUCUAUCCUGGAUGUAGUAAACAACAAGGUUGCGAAAUUGCUUCAACCUCAUUUUGUGAGGAAAAUUCUGUCAUUUCAUUAGAAAUGAAUUGGAAACGGUUCCACCUAAGUGAUGAAAAAGAAAUAAUUGAUAAGAAACGGAGGAAAUUACCUUUUACAAAGAACUGCAGCAAUUGCAACCUAACUGGAG